rfam:Myotis davidii contig16490, whole genome shotgun sequence.
CGUGCACCAGUGGGGUCCCUUGGCCUGGCCUGUGACCUCUUGCAAUCCAGGACCCCUUGGGGGAUGUCAGAGAACCUGUUUCUGCCUGAUUCCGCAGGCCAGGCCAAGGGACCCCACUGGUGCAUG